rnacentral:rRNA from 1 species
AACGAACGCUGGCGGCAUGCCUAACACAUGCAAGUCGAACGAGACCUUCGGGUCUAGUGGCGCACGGGUGCGUAACGCGUGGGAAUCUGCCCUUGGGUUCGGAAUAACAGUUGGAAACGACUGCUAAUACCGGAUGAUGACGUAAGUCCAAAGAUUUAUCGCCCAGGGAUGAGCCCGCGUAGGAUUAGCUAGUUGGUGGGGUAAAGGCCUACCAAGGCGACGAUCCUUAGCUGGUCUGAGAGGAUGAUCAGCCACACUGGGACUGAGACACGGCCCAGACUCCUACGGGAGGCAGCAGUGGGGAAUAUUGGACAAUGGGCGAAAGCCUGAUCCAGCAAGGCCGCGUGAGUGAUGAAGGCCUUAGGGUUGUAAAGCUCUUUUACCCGGGAUGAUAAUGACAGUACCGGGAGAAUAAGCCCCGGCGAACUCCGU